CUAUGGUUUAUUGGAUCAUACCCGUUAAAUGGRUAACUGUAAUAACUCUAGAGCUAAUACAUGCCACGAAGCCCUGACCUGUGCUCGCAAGGGUGCAGGAAUGGGUGCACUUAUUAGAUCAGAAGCCAACCGCGUUGUUGUCGCAAGGCAGCAGCGUGUUGUCGUUCUGGUGACUCUGGAUAAUUGUUACAGAUCGCAGUCGGCCUUGAGUCGGCGACGGGUCCUUCAAAUGUCUGCCCUAUCAACUUUCGAUGGUAGGUGACCUGCCUACCAUGGUGAUAACGGGUAACGGGGAAUCAGGGUUCGAUUCCGGAGAGGGAGCCUGAGAAACGGCUACCACUUCUAAGGAAGGCAGCAGGCGCGCAAAUUACCCACUCCCAGUACGGGGAGGUGGUGACGAAAAAUACCGAUGCGGGACUCCUAAAAGAGGCUCCGUAAUCGGAAUGAGUGAACUUUAAAUCCUUUCACGAGGAUCAAUUGGAGGGCAAGUCUGGUGCCAGCAGCCGCGGUAACUCCAGCUCCAAUAGCGUAUAUUAAAGUUGCUGCAGUUAAAAAGCUCGUAGUUGGAUCUCGGUAUCACUGUUGCCUGUCGGUUCUUAGGUCGGGUUCCCGCCCAUCGUGCCGGGCUGUUUUUCACCGGGCCCUCCGUGGUGUCCUUGGUGUGGCGGUCUGUGCCGUUGUGGUGGCCGUGCCAAGCCGGCAGUGGCGGCGGUGUCACCUUUCAGCCAUGUCUGUGGUGCAAUACCCACAGGUGUAGGCGUGUGUCAGGCAGUGCAUGGCUUCUGGCUGUGUCUGUCGGCUCGCUUGCAUGCCAGUGAUCCUUGAUGCCUUUAACCGGGUGUCCUCUGGCGGAUGGCACGUUUACUUUGAACAAAUUUGAGUGCUCAAACCAGGCCGAUGUUGCCUGAAAAGUUUUGCAUGGAAUAAUGGAAUAGGACUUCGGUUCUAUUUCGUUGGUUUUCGGAUCCGAAGUAAUGAUCAACAGAGACAGGCGGGGACGUUUGUAUGGCUGCGCUAGAGGUGAAAUUCAUGGACCGUAGCCAGACAAACUAAAGCGAAAGCAUUCGUCAAGCAUGUUUUCAUUGACCAUGAGCGAAAGUCAGAGGCUCGAAGACGAUCAGAUACCGUCCUAGUUCUGACCAUAAACGAUGCCAACUGACGAUCCGUGGUGGUAGUAUUUACAACCUUCCCCACGGGCAGUCCCCGGGAAACCUUUAAGUCUUUGGGUUCCGGGGGAAGUAUGGUUGCAAAGCUGAAACUUAAAGGAAUUGACGGAAGGGCACCACCAGGAGUGGAGCCUGCGGCUUAAUUUGACUCAACACGGGAAAACUCACCCGGCCCGGACACUGUGAGGAUUGACAGAUUGAUAGCUCUUUCUUGAUUUGGUGGUUGGUGGUGCAUGGCCGUUCUUAGUUGGUGGAGCGAUUUGUCUGGUUAAUUCCGAUAACGAACGAGACUCUAGCCUGCUAAUUAGUACAGCCGUCUUCUGUGCUCGGACCAAGGGCGUUUGACGAUGUUGUACCUAUACACCCUCUACUACGGCUGCGUGUCGGUGUCUUGUCGUGCCGGUGGCNUCGGCUGUUGGUCGGCUUGUGCUGCGCGUAGUNUGCGGUUCUGGGAUGGUCGACUGGUUCGGCGUUUGUUGACGAGUACGGCGCGGUUUGUUCACUUCUUAGAGGGACAAGCGGGAGAAGCCGCACGAAAUUGAGCAAUAACAGGUCUGUGAUGCCCUUAGAUGUCCGGGGCCGCACGCGCGCUACAAUGACGGUGCCAACGAGUCUGACCUUCUGGCCCGAAAGGGUUGGGCAAACUGGUCAAUCACCGUCAUGACAGGGAUCGGGGCUUGGAAUUGUUCCCCGUGAACGAGGAAUUCCUAGUAAGUGCAAGUCAUAAGCUUGCGCUGAUUACGUCCCUGCCCUUUGUACACACCGCCCGUCGCUACUACCGAUUGAAUGGUUUAGUAAGGUCCUUGGAUCGGUGCUAUUCUGCUACUUGUCGAAAGGCAGGCCAGCCGACAGGCGCUGAGAAGACGACCAAACUUGAUCAUUUAGA
rnacentral:rRNA from 1 species